rnacentral:rRNA from 1 species
CUGAGUCUAAUACCACCCUGAAUGUGCCCAAUCUCGUCUGAUCUAGGAAACUAAGCAGGGUCGAGCCUGGUUAGUACUUGGAUGGGAGAAAUGGGCAGAACUCACA